rfam:Methanofollis liminatans DSM 4140 chromosome, whole genome shotgun sequence.
GGGCUCGUAGAUCAGGGGAAGAUCGCAUCGUUCGCAACGAUGAGGCCGCGGGUUCAAUUCCCGCCGGGUCCA